UACGUAGGGGGCUAGCGUUGUCCGGAAUCAUUGGGCGUAAAGCGCGCGUAGGCGGCCCGGUAAGUCCGCUGUAAAAGUCAGAGGCUCAACCUUUGAAUGUCAGUGGAUACUGCCGGGCUAGAGUCCGGAAGAGGCGAGUGGAAUUCCUGGUGUAGCGGUGGAAUGCGCAGAUAUCAGGAGGAACACCGACGGCGAAGGCAGCUCGCUGGGACGGUACUGACGCUGAGGCGCGAAGGCGUGGGGAGCGAACAGG
rnacentral:rRNA from 1 species